GAGUGUCAGGAAAGGAAAGAAAGAUAGCCCCCUUCUUAAUAAGGAUGGAAGAGGCUCUCAUAACUUAAUCAGGAUGUUUACAGUUAAGGCGUUGCUACCUGCUUCGUAGUUCGUGUUUUU
rnacentral:ncRNA from 1 species